UUCCGUGACGUAGCUAACGCGUUAAGUUGACCGCCUGGGGACUACGGCCGCAAGGCUAAAACUCAAAGGAAUUGACGGGGACCCGCACAAGCGGUGGAGCAUGUGGCUUAAUUCGAGGCAACGCGAAGAACCUUACCUGGGCUUGACAUAUAUUUGACCGCCAUGGAAACAUGGUUUUUCUUCGGAACAGAUAUACAGGUGCUGCAUGGCUGUCGUCAGCUCGUGCUGUGAAGUGUUCGGUUAAGUCCGGCAACGAGCGCAACCCACGUCACUAGUUACCAUCAGGUAAUGCUGGGGACUUUAGUGAGACUGCCCGUGUUAAGCGGGAGGAAGGCGUGGAUGACGUCAAGUCAGUAUGGCCCUUAUGUCCAGGGCUGCACACGUGCUACAAUGGUUGGUACAGAGGGAAGCAAUGCCGCGAGGUGGAGCAAAUCCGUAAAACCAGCCUAAGUUCGGAUUGGAGUCUGCAACUCGACUCCAUGAAGUCGGAAUCGCUAGUAAAGGCGUAUCAGCUACGACGCCUUGAAUACGUUCCCGGGUCUCGUACACACCGCCCGUCACAUCAUGGAAGUUGAUUGCACCCGAAGUCGUUGACCCAACUCAUUAUUGAGAGGGAGGCGCCGAAGGUGUGGUUGAUAACUGGGAUGAAGUCGUAACAAGGUAACCGUAA
rnacentral:rRNA from 1 species